rnacentral:rRNA from 1 species
UGGGGAAUAUUGCACAAUGGGCGAAAGCCUGAUGCAGCAACGCCGCGUGAGUGAUGAAGGUCUUCGGAUUGUAAAGCUCUGUCUUUUGGGACGAUAAUGACGGUACCAAAGGAGGAAGCCACGGCUAACUACGUGCCAGCAGCCGCGGUAAUACGUAGGUGGCGAGCGUUGUCCGGAUUUACUGGGCGUAAAGGGUGCGUAGGCGGAUGUUUAAGUGAGAUGUGAAAUACCCGGGCUUAACUUGGGUGCUGCAUUUCAAACUGGAUAUCUAGAGUGCAGGAGAGGAGAAUGGAAUUCCUAGUGUAGCGGUGAAAUGCGUAGAGAUUAGGAAGAACACCAGUGGCGAAGGCGAUUCUCUGGACUGUAACUGACGCUGAGGCACGAAAGCGUGGGUAGCAAACAGGAUUAGAUACCCUGGUAGUCCACGCCGUAAAACGAUGAGUACUAGGUGUAGGAGGUAUCGACCCCUUCUGUGCCGCAGUAAACACAUUAAGUACUCCGCCUGGGAAGUACNAUCGCAAGAUUAAAACUCUAAAGUGAAUUGACGGGGUC